rnacentral:ncRNA from 1 species
UCAGUCGGCAAAUUGACCCCGUAACUUCGGGAGAAGGGGUGCCACCGAAAGGUGGUCGCAGAGAAUAGGCCCAAGCAACUGUUUAGCAAAAACACAGGUCUCUGCUAAAGCGAAAGCUGAUGUAUAGGGCUGACGCCUGCCCGGUGCUGGAAGGUUAAGGGGAUCACUUAGCGCAAGCGAAGGUGUGAACUUAAGCCCCAGUAAACGGCGGCCGUAACUAUAACGGUCCUAAGGUAGCGAAAUUCCUUGUCGGGUAAGUUCCGACCCGCACGAAUGGCGUAAUGAUUUGGGCACUGUCUCAACAGCAAAUCCGGCGAAAUUGUAGUGCAAGUGAAGAUGCUUGCUACCCGCGAUUGGACGGAAAGACCCCGUAGAGCUUUACUGUAGCUUAGCAUUGAAUUUCGGUAUUGUCUGUACAGGAUAGGUGGGAGACUGAGAAACUGGGCCGUCAGGUUCAGUGGAGUCGUCCUUGGGAUACCACCCUGACAGUACUGGGAUUCUAACUGGAGGCCAUGAAUCUGGUCACAGGACAUUGUUAGGUGGGCAGUUUGACUGGGGCGGUCGCCUCCAAAAAAGUAACGGAGGCGCCCAAAGGUUCCCUCAGUGCGGUUGGAAAUCGCGCGAAGAGUGCAAAGGCAGAAGGGAGCCUGACUGCGACACAGACAAGUGGAGCAGGGACGAAAGUCGGGCUUAGUGAUCCGGUGGUUCCUCGUGGGAGGGCCAUCGCUCAACGGAUAAAAGCUACCUCGGGGAUAACAGGCUGAUCUACCCCAAGAGUCCACAUCGASCGGGGAGGUUGGCACCUCGAUGUCGGCUCGUCGCAUCCUGGGGCUGAAGUAGGUCCCAAGGGUUGGCUGUUCGCCAUUAAGCGCA